AUCUCCACGACGCCAGUGAACUCUGCUAUCCAAAUUAACUCUGCAUUGCAAGGCCUUUGGGAUAAGGUGGGAGGUGCAGUGUUUCCAGACUGGAGCCCAGUGGGCCGCUGGGACAGAGGGCAGCUGUAAGGCCAGAGAGCAAGGAGGACCAACGAGGACAUUUAUUUAUUUGAGGGAGAGAAAGAGCGCAUGCGCACGUGCGGGAGCAUAAGCGCGGUGGGAGGGGCAGAGAAAGAGGGAGAGAGAAUCCCAAGCGGACUCUGCGCUGAGUGUGGAGCUCGACACCGGGCUUGAUCCCACGACCCGGAGAUCACGACCCCAGCCAAAACCAAGAGUCCAGCCUUAACCAACUGCACCACCCGGGUACCCCAAGACUAAGGUUCCAUGAGCCACCGAGGGAGGCCUGGCUGCCUGAAGGCUGCUCCCCCAUCCCCCACCGUGCCCAGCCCAGCAAGAUUUCGUCCCGACACCCCCUCUCACUGCCUUUGGAGCUUCCCGGAGAUCCACGGCAAUCGGAGAAGCGAUGAUGAUGUAAGAAUAACAUAAUGAUCCUAAAGCCAAU